rnacentral:rRNA from 1 species
ACGAGCGGCGAACGGGUGAGUAACACGUGAGCAACCUGCCCUUCUCUUGGGGAUAACCAGUGGAAACGCUGGCUAAUACCGAAUAUGACUGCUUCGCGCAUGCGGGGUGGUGGAAAGUUCCGGCGGAGAAGGAUGGGCUCGCGGCCUAUCAGCUUGUUGGUGAGGUAAUGGCUCACCAAGGCGACGACGGGUAGCCGGCCUGAGAGGGUGACCGGCCACACUGGGACUGAGACACGGCCCAGACUCCUACGGGAGGCAGCAGUGGGGAAUAUUGGACAAUGGGCGAAAGCCUGAUCCAGCAACGCCGCGUGAGGGAUGACGGCCUUCGGGUUGUAAACCUCUUUCAGCACCGACGAAGCGAGAGUGACGGUAGGUGCAGAAGAAGGACCGGCCAACUACGUGCCAGCAGCCGCGGUAAUACGUAGGGUCCGAGCGUUGUCCGGAAUUAUUGGGCGUAAAGGGCUCGUAGGCGGUCUGUCGCGUCGGGAGUGAAAACUCGGGGCUUAACCCCGAGCGUGCUUCCGAUACGGGCAGACUAGAGGGAUGCAGGGGAGAAUGGAAUUCCUGGUGUAGCGGUGGAAUGCGCAGAUAUCAGGAGGAACACCGGUGGCGAAGGCGGUUCUCUGGGCAUUUCCUGACGCUGAGGAGCGAAAGCAUGGGGAGCGAACAGGAUUAGAUACCCUGGUAGUCCAUGCCGUAAACGUUGGGCGCUAGGUGUGGGGACCUUCCACGGUUUCCGUGCCGCAGCUAACGCAUUAAGCGCCCCGCCUGGGGAGUAC